rfam:Polaribacter sp. LPB0003 LPB3_27, whole genome shotgun sequence.
GUUUAGCCCUGAUUGAAGCAUUUGUUUGAGCUCUUUUUUAUUAUUUUUCUUAAUAAAAAAAGCGAGUGCGUAAAGCAGGAAAUAGC